rnacentral:lncRNA from 1 species
GAAUGGAGCCCAGAGGUCCUCUGGUGCAACUCACACCUGACCAAGAAUCCACUCAACACCAUUCCUAGAAAAUGCAUCCAGCAUUUUUGCUUGAAGACCUUAUAGUGAACUGGGCCUGGAGUCAGCAAGACCUAAAUUCAAAUUCAGGCUCAGAAAUUUACUAGCUUUGUGACUCUGGAUUAGUCACUUAAUCUCUAUUUACCUCAGUUUUCUCAAUUGUAAAAUGAAUAUAUUUUAUUUUUUUAUAAAGUGCUUAAAACAGUGCCUGUUACUUAACAAACUUGUGAUUCCUUCCCCUUCCUUAUCUAAAAGAAGAGCUCAUUUGAUUUUUGAAAAGCUCUUGUCUUAAGAGGAGCAGCAGUGGAUAGAGCACCAUACCUGAAGUGGGGAAGCCUUGGUUUCAAAUACGGCCUUGCUAGCUGUAUGACCCUCAUCUGUAAAAUAACAUGGAGAAGGAAAAGGCAAACCAUUCCAUCUUUGCCCAAAAACUCCAAUGGAAUCACAAAGAGUUGAAUAUGAUUGAAAUAACUGAACACAACAAACACAGUUAAGGAGAGGCUUUUUUUCCCUUACAUGAAAUCUAAAUAUUCAGAUUCCACAAGCAGAAAAAUCUAUUCCUUCUUUCAUGUCACAGCCUUUCAGAUACUUGAAGAUACAAAGGAGGAGAUGGAGGCUUAGAGAGUUAAAUCAGUUGUCCAGCUAAUUGGUUAAAAAAAAUCAAAAGAUCAUGAGCCCAAUUUUUUGGAUACCCAAAUACAGUGUUUUUCUACUGUUUAUUUACCUUACACCAAAAAAAUUGCUUCAAAACUUUUCUCUAAAUAUUCAGUGGUUUUCACUUGACUCAUAAAAGGUACUUAAAGGUACUUAAACUUUUCAGAAAGAUUGUAUCCAUACUAUAUGGGCUCUCAGUAGACAAUAAAUGUACCAGCUGCCUGUCAUUUUUUCUUCUUUCGUUUCCUUCGCUGCGUGGAGGAUUCAAUCUCCUUCUGAACUUAUAUACUAGUCACAUUUAAUUUCUUGAUUCAGAGCAGCUUUCGCAUUAUGGCCAGUGCAUGAGUAUUAUUGUGUUUAUUGAAUCCAGCUAAAGUUUUCUUUCUUGGUUUCAUUUUACAAGUUAAAUACUUGUUCAAACUUCCCAUUUUACAGACCAGAAAACUAGCCUAAAGAGGCUGAAAGAUUUAUACUAGGUCCUUCAGAGAGUGAGUGGCAGAAUCCAAAUUCAUCAUUUCUUCCCCUGGCAGCAAACUAAUACCCUAUAGCAAAAGACUUUUUUUUUUUAAAUUUUGGAUGAAGUAUUAGAAAUCUUGGGGGUCAGUUCUAGCACUGUCUCUUAACUCAUUGUGUGCCUUUGGCCAACUUAUUUAACCACUUUAAGGAUCAUUCCCCUUAAAUAAAGCAGUUGAAGAAAACCUCUAAGGUCCUGGACACUUGUGUUAUUCUGUAGCCUACAUUCUAACAUUUCUUUAUAGGCCACUUCCAGAUAUAUAAUUCUAUAGUCUUAGAAGGCUCAUAGAUAAGUAGCUGUCCAAGUUCCCAGAAUAAUAAGUCUUGGUCAACUGUUAAUUCACUAUACAACCCAAACUUUCCAAAUCCACUAUACAAACCCCUAAACUUUCCAAAAAGACUGUAUCCAUACUAUAUGGGCUCUCAGCUGUCUGUCAUUUUUUUCCCCUUUUCCUGAAUUGCUUAGAGGAUUCAAUCUCAUUUUUGAACUUAUAUACCAGUCAUAUUUAAUUUCUUGAUUCAGA